GAGAAAGAUAUAAUGGUUAUGGGGCUGGCUUGAAACUAGCUUUAGGGGGUUCAAUUCCUUCCUUUCUCG
rnacentral:tRNA from 1 species